rnacentral:rRNA from 1 species
AGGAGUUUGAUCCUGGCUCAGAACGAACGUUGGCGGCAGGCUUAACACAUGCAAGUCGGAGGUGAACCGGGGCUUCGGCCCCGCGGAAACUGGCGCACGGGUGAGUAACGCGUGGGAAUCUACCCCGGGGUGGGGAAUAACCGCUGGAAACGGCGGCUAAUACCGCAUACGCCUUGAGAGGGAAAGCUUUAUGCGCCCUGGGAUGAGCCCGCGUCGGAUUAGCUUGUUGGUGAGGUAACGGCUCACCAAGGCUUCGAUCCGUAGCUGGUCUGAGAGGAUGAUCAGCCACACUGGGACUGAGACACGGCCCAGACUCCUACGGGAGGCAGCAGUGGGGAAUAUUGGACAAUGGGGGCAACCCUGAUCCAGCCAUGUCGCGUGCGUGAAGAAGGCCUUAGGGUUGUAAAGCGCUUUCAGCGGGGAAGAUGAUGACGGUACCCGCAGAAGAAGCCCCGGCUAACUCCGUGCCAGCAGCCGCGGUAAUACGGAGGGGGCAAACGUUGUUCGGAAUUACUGGGCGUAAAGGGCGCGUAGGCGGAUUAUCAAGUCAGAGGUGAAAGCCCUGGGCUCAACCUAGGAACUGCCUUUGAAACUGAUAGUCUUGAGUCCGAGAGAGGAUGGCGGAAUUCCCAGUGUAGAGGUGAAAUUCGUAGAUAUUGGGAAGAACACCAGUGGCGAAGGCGGCCAUCUGGCUCGGUA